UACGAAGGGUGCAAGCGUUACUCGGAAUUACUGGGCGUAAAGCGUGCGUAGGUGGUUUGUUAAGUCUGAUGUGAAAGCCCUGGGCUCAACCUGGGAAUUGCAUUGGAUACUGGCAGGCUAGAGUGCGGUAGAGGAUGGCGGAAUUCCCGGUGUAGCAGUGAAACGCGUAGAGAUCGGGAGGAACAUCUGUGGCGAAGGCGGCCAUCUGGACCAGCACUGACACUGAGGCACGAAAGCGUGGGGAGCAAACAGG
rnacentral:rRNA from 1 species